GGGCCCGCACAAGCGGUGGAGCAUGUGGUUUAAUUCGAUGCAACGCGAAGAACCUUACCAGGGUUUGACAUCCUGCGAAUCUCUUGGAAACGAGAGAGUGCCUUCGGGAACGCAGUGACAGGUGGUGCAUGGCUGUCGUCAGCUCGUGUCGUGAGAUGUUGGGUUAAGUCCUAUAACGAGCGCAACCCCUAUCGUUAGUUGCCAGCAAGUUAAGUUGGGUACUCUAGUGAGACUGCCGGUGCAAACCGAGAGGAAGGUGGGGAUGACGUCAAAUCAUCACGGCCCUUACGUCCUGGGCUACACACGUGCUACAAUGGCCGGUACAGAGAGCAGCCACCACGCGAGUGGGAGCGAAUCUUUAAAGCCGGUCUCAGUUCGGAUCGCAGUCUGCAACUCGACUGCGUGAAGCUGGAAUCGCUAGUAAUCG
rnacentral:rRNA from 1 species